rnacentral:rRNA from 1 species
AGCAGCCGCGGUAAUUCCAGCUCCAAUAGCGUAUAUUAAAGUUGUUGCAGUUAAAAAGCUCGUAGUUGGAUUUCGGGAUUAGUACGUUGGUCGUGCCUUCGGUACGUACUGGUGUUACUGGUUCCUACCUUCUGACGAACCAUCAUGUCAUUAAUUUGGUGUGGCGGGGAAUCAGGACUGUUACUUUGAAAAAAUUAGAGUGUUUAAAGCAGGCUCGCGCUUGAAUACAUUAGCAUGGAAUAAUGAAAUAGGACGUUGACCCUAUUUUGUUGGUUUCUAGGAUUGACGUAAUGAUUAAUAGGGAUAGUUGGGGGCAUUAGUAUUCAAUUGUCAGAGGUGAAAUUCUUGGAUUUAUUGAAGACUAACUACUGCGAAAGCAUUUGCCAAGGAUGUUUUCAUUAAUCAAGAACGAAAGUUAGGGGAUCGAAGACGAUCAGAUACCGUCGUAGUCUUAACCAUAAACUAUGCCGACUAGGGAUCGGAUGAUGUUAUUUUUAAUGACUCA